UUCCCCAUCUAGGUGCUCUCUCUCUGAUUGGCUGGAGGUUUGUGUCGGCUGCUGAUUGGUCCAACCAUCAUCUCUGCAGUUUAAAAAUGCUCAGGUAGUCUGACAGUAGCCAUGUUCUGUCCUCGGCCUCCAAACAUUUGUGAUAAAGCUGUGAUCUAGAGUUGAAUUAGUAGCCUUAGUGCCCUAGUUGGCUUCAUAAAUGUGUAACUUGUUGUAGGUUUUCUUUGUUGCUAAAGAUACCAACUGUCAGUUGGAUAAAAACUGGCAUCAGGGCAUCACAUCAGACUGAACUCUUUGUCCCUGCUCACCUUUGAAAGGGACUAUGAAGUCAUUUCAGUGUUCAACACCACAAGAAGCCCCGUCGUCUCCUGCUGGAAUCAUCAAAAACAAGGGGUCAGCAACCUUUACUAACAAAAGAGACAUUUUACGCAAAAAAUCUGUCUGGAGCCGCCAAACAUUUGAGCAUUGUGAUGAAGGGAGCCACUGGAGAGGAGCUGAAGAGCUGCAGGUUGAUGGCCGCUGAUUUAGGGGUAUUUUUCAUUGUAUAAACACAAUUAUUUACCAUAUUAUCUGGUCUGUUCUAUCGUCAAAGAUCUUAUUUAUUCAGUUAAACAUUUGUGUAUCUCUGUGUUGAUAAAAAGUAGAUUUUGAUUUUGUAGAACUUUUUAGAGAAAUCUUUUUCUUUUCAUUAACUAUCACUGGCACUGAGUCUUGUUUACAGACUGAUUAAUGUACAGUAGCCUUUGGAUCCUAAAUUACUCUUACAAGUGACAAGCCAAGCUUUCAGCUCAGAAGACACGCAAGCUGCUCAAUAGACGAUCCAUUAUUAAACGGCAGGUGAAAUGAGUGGC